rnacentral:rRNA from 1 species
AAUGAACGCUGGCGGCAGGCCUAACACAUGCAAGUCGAACGGAUCCUUCGGGAUUAGUGGCGGACGGGUGAGUAACGCGUGGGAACGUGCCCUUUGGUUCGGAAUAGCCUCGGGAAACUUGAGCUAAUACCGUAUGUGCCCGAGAGGGCAAAGAUUUAUCGCCUUUGGAUGAGCCCGCGUUGGAUUAGCUAGUUGGUGGGGUAAUGGCCUACCAAGGCGACGAUCCAUAGCUGAUCUGAGAGGAUGAUCAGCCACACUGGGACUGAGACACGGCCCAGACUCCUACGGGAGGCAGCAGUGGGGAAUCUUGGACAAUGGGCGAAAGCCUGAUCCAGCCAUGCCGCGUGAGUGAAGAAGGCCUUAGGGUUGUAAAGCUCUUUUGCCCGGGAAGAUAAUGACGGUACCGGGAGAAUAAGCCCCGGCAAACUUCGUGCCAGCCGCCGCCGUAAAAC